rnacentral:lncRNA from 1 species
UAAGGGUCCUCUACACUGCCCAUCUAAAUAAAAAUAAACACAAUAUUACAUUUUUAAAAUAUGUAUAAGGAGGGGCCUACAGCAUUCUCAUUUUCCUAAGGGGUCUACUUCCAUGUCUUUUUUGAUGUAUAAAAAUAAACAUUUUCAAAGGAAAUUUUGGUGCUUCUACCUUACCAGUACCUUAAAUAUACGCUUAGCUUGUUUUGGGGAAUCCAGACCUAAAUCUUUUGGACUCAUCCCAAAUGUCACCUUCUCAGGGGGACUUCUCUUAUCUGUCCUUUCUAAAGUGGCAUUCUUCCCUUCCUGAGACCCAUCUAUCACACCAUUCUGGUUUUCUCGUAUUUCAUAGAAAGCAUCAAAAUUUGUAAUUGUCAGGUAUAGUUUUUAGUUUACUAGCUUAUUGUUUGUCUUCUUUAUGAAGGAGGGUCCUGUCUGUCUUAUUUGUUGCUAUAACCUCCUCACCUAGUGCAAUGCCUGAUACAAAGUAAGUGAUAGUUCCUGAAUGAAUGAAUGAAUGAAUGUAGGCUCAUGGAUGGCAAGCAGCACAGAGUAGAUUAUAAUCCCAAGGCAGAUAGACUCAUUUGGGUUGUUACCUUGUAAGACACUUUCUUCAUGGGGUGGGAAGGGAGAAGUGAAUUCAUAGAAAGAGAGGACUGUUGUUGAAAGAGGGAGGGCCAUGGCCUCUGCAACCUGGUGAAGUCUCAGAGCUCAGGAUAUGGCAGAAAGAACAUGCUGUGAUGUUGCAUGGAUUCUGGGUGUGGUGAGAGCUGAUACUUACUUUUGGAUAGUCAUUUCCCUGUGUCUUCUCCAAACUUUCAGUAAAGUUUCUUAAACUCAACAGCUAAGUGUUUUGUUAUUUGGAAAAUUGAGGAAAGACCAUGUGUUCAUGCUCUGCUUUGGGGGCCAAGAUAAGCAAGAGAGAUUGGUGACAGCAUAGAGAAAUGGUGAUAAGAAAGCUAGAAGUGUUUGGGGGCAGCAACAACUAGAAUGGAUUUGUACAUUAGCAUCUAACUUUAGAAUUCCCAGAAUUAUUGUUAUUUGGAUAGUAGAGGAAAGAGUGACUCUUGGAUGGCUAAAGAAGUCGAGGUUAUUCUGGUUGCAAAAUUAAUAAGUUAUUUGGUAAUUAUGUGUUUAAUGUCUGUGUCCCAUGACACAGUAGACUUCCUCUGGAUAAUGAUUGUGUGUGAGUUGUUUACUACUAUGUUGCUGGGUUCCUGGCAUUGGGUGGGCACUCAAUAAAUAUUUGUUGAAUGAAUGAUUGGUUCUGGGUGUUUUUCUGUUUCUAGGUUAUAAGUCAGAAGGGUCUGCUGAAAUGUGAUGAGGAAAACUAGAAGAAAAGUCCAGGCCCUGAGAGUGAAUACCAGACAGAAGCUGGGGGUGGAAGAGUAUCAAUAUGCAAUAUGCAGACUGAUUUGCCGAGGAGGAUUCAGAUAGGAGAUUCAGACUCCCAGAACAACUAAAAGGAUAACAGGCACUGUCAAAGAUCUAGACAGAAGGGCCAGAAAAGCAGCAGUUGGAACACACAGAGGGACUGUUGCUGGACCCUGGGUACCUGGCUGAAGACUUUGGACUUUAACCUGGAGAUGAUGGAGAGUAUGCAGGAUAAAGUCCAUACCAAAUCCAACGCCUAGCAAAUGGAGAACAAGCCAAAACUAACAAGAUAAAAUGUAGCAGGAAAAAGUGCAAAGAGCUGAAGUGUGGAAUAAGUGGGAGAGGUCUGCCAUGCCCUAUCUGACCUUGCUGCCAUGAUCUUUAAGGCUGUGUGUCCUGGUUGGUGCAGCUACAAGAUGGCAGAAAUGCCUAAGUGAUGGUAUGGAACAGAGGAUCCCUCUUCUCACCAUUGUCUUGCAUGUUUCCUUGUGUGAACCACAAAUAAACUUUUGUUAUGUUAAGCUGC